rnacentral:rRNA from 1 species
GCCUAACACAUGCAAGUCGUACGAGAUCUACUCUUUUUUCGGAAAGGGUAGAUUGCAGUGGCGGACGGGUGAGUAACGCGUAAGAACUUACCUUUUGGCGGGGGAUAACAGCGGGAAACUGCUGCUAAUACCCCAUAAUGCUGAGGAGCUAAAAGUGAAAACUGCCAAGAGAGAGGCUUGCGUCUGAUUAGCUAGUUGGUGGGGGUAAUGGCCUCCCAAGGCGACGAUCAGUAGCUGGUCUGAGAGGAUGAUCAGCCACACUGGGACUGAGACACGGCCCAGACUCCUACGGGAGGCAGCAGUGGGGAAUUUUCCACAAUGGGCGAAAGCCUGAUGGAGCAAUACCGCGUGAGGGAUGAAGCAUCGUGGUGUGUAAACCUCUUUUCUUAAGGAAGAAUAAAUGACGGUACUUAAGGAAUAAGCACCGGCUAACUCUGUGCCAGCAGCCGCCGUAAAAC